rnacentral:rRNA from 1 species
UAAGGAAUAUUGGUCAAUGGACGCAAGUCUGAACCAGCCAUGCCGCGUGAAGGAUGAAGGUCCUCUGGAUUGUGAACUUCUUUUAUCUGGGACGAAAACGGGAUUUUUAUCUCAAUUGACGGUACCAGAGGAAUAAGCACCGGCUAACUCCGUGCCAGCAGCCGCGGUAAUACGGAGGGUGCGAGCGUUAUCCGGAUUUACUGGGUUUAAAGGGUGCGUAGGUGGGCUUAUAAGUCAGUGGUGAAAUCUCCGAGCUUAACUUGGAAACUGCCGUUGAUACUAUAGGUCUUGAAUUAUCUGGAGGUAAGCGGAAUAUGUCAUGUAGCGGUGAAAUGCUUAGAUAUGACAUAGAACACCAAUUGCGAAGGCAGCUUACUACAUAUAAAUUGACGCUGAGGCACGAAAGCGUGGGGAUCAAACA